rnacentral:tRNA from 1 species
AAUUCAAAAAGCUUCUAACUUUUAUUUGAGCAUUAGCUUGUUCAUAUUUCUU